rnacentral:rRNA from 1 species
GACGAACGCUGCGGCGUGCUUAACACAUGCAAGUCGAAGAAAGCGGCGGACGGGUGAGUAAUGCUUAGGAAUCUGCCUAUUAGUGGUGGACAACAUCUCGGAAGGGAUGCUAAUACCGCAUACUUAUAGAUGAUCCUAGUCGGAUUAGCUAGUUGGUGGGGUAAAGGCCUACCAAGGCGACGAUCUGUAGCGGGUCUGAGAGGAUGAUCCGCCACACUGGGACUGAGACACGGCCCAGACUCCUACGGGAGGCAGCAGUGGGGAAUAUGCACAAUGGGCGCAAGCCUGAUACAGCCAUGCCGCGUGUAUGAAGAAGGCCCUAGGGUUGUAAAGUACUUUCAGUCGGGAGGCGUUACCGACAGAAGAAGCACCGGCUAACUCCGUGCCAGCCGCCGCGGUAAUUC